CCGCCAUUUUAUUGGACAAUUUGCGUCGUCAUUUCGUUUUUACACUGUUUUGUAAAUUUGUUUUACAAUUAUUGUUUAUAUUAUAAAAAUAAAGUGCGUAACAAUCAGGAACGAUGACGGAUAUAAAAAGAUUGGUCGCGGCCAGAGGGCAAGCAAAAGGCUCACGACCAGAUCAACGCUCGAUUUCGGGAGAAGGAGGUGGAAAAUUCCAACGCCUUCCGCGCAUAAAUAUUCGUCAAUUUGACGGAAAUAAUAUCGAAAAUAGAGCUGUAGCACUUGAGACUGCUACGGGCCCCAAAGAGGAGCCACGUAAGAACUCAAUGGCUGUGUGCGCUCAGGCAGUGUCUACAGUAAAGAAGCAGUCACCUUCAGCAAAAUGCAUUGGAGCACCAGGCAUCCCCGCUUAAGGAAAAUGGACCUUACCUACUCAAGACAAAGUUUGGUGAUGUGAUAGCCGGUUCGUUGCCUCCAAUGUAUGUAUCCCUACCCAGCAUUGACCACUCCAUAUCUGUUCAAAACCAAAUCGUGCUGGCGUGGCUGAGCAUGGAACCAGUCAGACUGCUGUCAUAUGUCGCAAACAGAGUCAUUAAAAUCAAAGAGCUGACUUCAGGAUGGCCUUGGUUCUAUGUGAAGACCACUGACAACCCCGCGGAUUGUCUCUCUCGAGGAGUGGAGCCUCAUGCAUUGCAGAACAAUGAGCUUUGGUGGCACGGGCCUCAAUUUCUAAAUAACAACUCAUUUUCUCAUGGAAAUGCAAAGCAUGAGCCUUUAUCACCGCACGAACUGCCUGAAAUUAACAAAAAAUGUUGCAUUAUUGUAAACUGUAAUGAUGCUUGUCAUGUUGUAACUAACAAUGAUAAUGCCUUUAAUAUGGACCUACUUGCUCGCUUUUCUGAUAUUAUAAAGCUAAAACGGGUUGUAGCCUAUAUACUACGAUUUUCGGAUAAUUGUAAGAUAAAAAAUAUAACAGAGAGGCGUACGGGCGCGCUUCAGCCGUGUGAGCUUGAAAACGCUUUAUUAACAAUUAUUAAAAUGGACCAACAGAGGCAUUAUCAAAAAGAAAUUGCCUGCUUAAAGGCUAACAAACCUGUAUCACAUUCUCUAUCAGCAUUGAGUCCUUUUCUUGAUAAGAAUGGCUUAUUAAGAGUUGGUGGGAGAUUGGAAAAUUCACAGCUUCCAUUCACUCAAAAGCACCCAUUGAUACUUGUUAAAGGUUCUCACAUCACUAAGCUUCUUAUAUGGAAAGAACAUGAAACUUUAUUACACGCGGGACCUAAGUUAUUGCUUGCUUCACUUAAUAAUAAGUUUUGGCUUAUCAAUGCUGUAAGGGAAAUAAAACAUGUAAUUCACAAAUGUAUAAAAUGUUUUAAGCUAAAGGCAAAGGCUGCAUCACAGCUGAUGGGGUCUCUGCCAGCCGAAAGGGUCACUGUAGCCAGGCCUUUCGAGAAGGUCGGCAUCGACUAUGCAGGUCCUUUUAAUAUAAAAUUACACCGUGUUAGGAAACCACUUAUUUUAAAAGCAUAUGUGUUAAUAUUUGUAUGUUUUGUCACAAAAGCGAUACAUGUGGAGCUCGCUUCCGAUUUAACCACAGCUUGUUUUUUAAAUUGCUUAAAAAGAUUUAUUGCACGGCGUAAUAAACCUUCGCAAAUCUUUUGUGACAAUGCAGCUACUUUUAAAGGUGCAAACUCACAAUUACAGGAGUUGUACAAACUACAGUCUCACCCAACACACCAAAAUUCAGUCGUGAAGUUUACAGCUGAUCAAGGUAUCACCUUUAAUUUCAUUCCCGCGUAUAGUCCGGUAUUUGGUGGGUUAUGGGAGGCUGGGGUUAAGAGUUUAAAGUAUCAUAUGAAAAGAGUAAUUGGGCAGACAGUACUUACGUAUGAGGAGCUAAACACUGUUAUCAUACAGAUUGAAGGCAUAUUGAAUGCGAGGCCGCUUACGCCUAUGUCCUCGGAUCCCUCAGAUCUCUCAUAUUUAACACCAAGUCACUUUCUUACUGGAGCUCCAAUUACUGCUUUCCCAGAACAGGAUCUCACUGACAUUCCUACUAAUAAGCUUCACUUUUGGGAGCAAUGUACUAAAAUUAAACAGAACUUUUUUAAGCAAUGGCAAAAACAGUACCUAUCUAUGUUGCAAAACAGGCCAAAAUGGAAAACUAGUACUCCUAAUAUUGAUGUUGGUACUUUAAUAAUCCUUAGAGAUAAUAAUAUUAUGCCUUUCCAAUGGCCUAUGGCAAGGGUUGUAAAACUUUACCCAGGUAACGACAACAAGGUGCGUGCAUUUGAUGUAAAAAUGCCUAAUGGUAAUAUUGUACGAACCAGUAUCACAAAGGUAUGUCCAUUGCCAAUUUAUUGAUAUGUUUUGAGUAGGUAGGGUUUUGUUCUAUGGAUAAAGUAAUAGUUUUGUUCUGUUAAAAAUAUUUGUGUUAAACUUUAUAUUAUAAUUCUUAAAAUAGGUAUAAUAUUAUGUAACAUUUAGAUAACUUAGUCCUUUUUCUUUUACUGCUGCCUGGCAGCCUUGUGUAUUAUCUACACACAAUAAUGGUAUCUUUUUCAAAUUUAUUAUAAUUUGUAAGACAACUAGCAUAAGGUUUCAAUAAGAAUAACUAGGAUAGGGUUUCAAUAAGACAACUAGGACAAGCUUUCAAAAGAUUAACUUUUUACUAGUUGCAUAAAUCUUUUAUUUUGUUUUGUUCACAUAAAGUCAAGGUUACUUUUUAAGUGGAUUAAAAUUUUCACAGAAACUAUUUAUUGUAACUUUUAAGUUCUUAAAUUAAUAAGUGUUAAGCUACAUUAGCAAAAAUGUUGUUUAAUCAGUCAUUAUUGAUAUUUAACUUUUAAUUAUCCUGCCACUGUUUGUUCAUUUCGCUUAUAAUCAAACUGUUUAAGGAUAUUUUGUGAAUGUUUUUCUUUUUGCUGGUGGGGCAAUUAUGUUCGAAUCCUCACAUAAAAUAAUGUGGCAACACUAGAUUUAAGUUUUUUAAUUCGACCACAAGAUGGCGAUUGUAACACUCUUUCCCUUCAACUCUUUGCGUAAUCAUUCAAAAUGUAACUAUAAAAUAUAAUCCUAUUAAAUACAGUCCACUUUUAACUUU
rnacentral:misc_RNA from 1 species